CAAUUGCGUAAAAGUAUAAUAAUCCUAAGUGAAAUAGUGACUCUCAGGGUGGAUAAAAAUAUUUCUCACAUAUAGAUAUUCAUUAAGGAAUAUAAAAUAUCAUUAGAAUAUAAAUAAGUCAAAAUUCACGGCGCUCUCAUUACAUCAUGUAAAUAAUCGAGCAACCUAACCGCAUUCGUUGUGAAAGGAGCUUAAAGUCUUGCCUCCACUUUUUCCUCAAUGUUUCUUAUAUGACUUUCACUGAAGAGAAUAUCGACUCAGUAUACAACUGGUUGCGAAAACGUUAAGAUCGUUAGAGUUUACUUUACUAAGAAAAAUGAAUAUUGUCGUGACUGCCCUUGUUCUUUCGAACACGUGCAUGGGCUCUUGGGCUCUUGAGGUUUAUGGCAAAUACUCAACGGAAAAUUUGGAAGUAACCACUCCGCCACCACCCCCAAAACCAUACAGCUUUAAAUAUCAAGCAGGACGUUACCCUGGACAAAUCGAUCGAGUUCAUCAGGAAGCUGGCGAUGGUUCCGGAAUUGUUCAUGGUUCUUACUCGUAUAUAGAUCCAAAGCACAAAGUGAGAACCGUUGAUUACGUGGCUGAUGCCAAUGGCUUCCAUCCUUCCUUGACGAACUUCGAGGACACUCUGGUGACUCCUACAGACUCCGAAGCCGUUAAACUUGCCAAGGAAAAGCAUUAUGCUCUUUACGAAAGAAUUGCCAAUGCGAAUGCUCAAGGAAUUCCCCCUCAUGUGCCAGCGGAUUCUGCUAGUGUAACCAGGGCGAAAGACAAACAUCUACAGCUGUUCCAGAAAAUCGCACAAGAACACGCAGAAAUUGCUGCGCAGAGGGAAGCAGAACGUUUGGCGUUCGAAGCGACAUCUGUACCAAAUGAGAUAAAUCUCAACAAUGGCCAUGGAUUUUAUAUAAAAAUGCGUACUCCACUAGAGAGGGCUCAGUUUUCCGAACAGCAGUUGUGAAAUUUAAAAGAAAUGAAGCUCUUAUCAUUAGUUUUGUUUUGUUUCCUUUUGGUGGGAUUAACGUACUCAAUGUCUGUGGAAAAACAUGAUCAUGCGGCUGUAGGAUUUAAUCAUGAUGGAAGAAAUCCUGCUUGCCGAGGACGAGGACCACCUCCUACUCGGGGUAAUGGAAAUGGUGGCAGUGGCAGUAGUCAAACCGAUGAACAAGUAAAUGGAAUGAAUGCUGCUGUCAAUGGAAAUUCUUAAAAAGAAAGGUCGAAAGCGCAAUGAAUAAAUUUCUUAAUCAAAAUGUUGUAUUAGUUAUUAACAUUGUAGUAGAACAAUAAAAUAUAUUGCACUAUAUUUAAA